rnacentral:rRNA from 1 species
UACGUAGGGCGCAAGCGUUGUCCGGAAUUAUUGGGCGUAAAGAGCUCGUAGGCGGCUUGUCACGUCGGGUGUGAAAGCCCGGGGCUUAACCCCGGGUCUGCAUUCGAUACGGGCUAGCUAGAGUGUGGUAGGGGAGAUCGGAAUUCCUGGUGUAGCGGUGAAAUGCGCAGAUAUCAGGAGGAACACCGGUGGCGAAGGCGGCUCACUGGCUCAUUACUGACGCUCAGGCGCGACAGCGUGGGGAUCAAACAGG